GUAGUCUAAAAGAAGGGGUCUAUGAGAGCAAAGCCUGGAAACCGAACAGCAGAAAAUGUGAAGAUAAUGAGUAAUUUUGGAGUAACAGAUUCAACUUCAGAAGACAUAGAAUCAGCUCAUGUUCACAUCCAAAAAGCAGGUAUGUACCCGUUUCAUGACAAUGUUCAGAGGAAAGAUGGAUACUGAUAGGACCAUUCACAUGAUAAUCCCAUUCCCCUUCCAGGUGACUUAUUGGGAAAGGUAUGUCAUUAUUUUUGAUCAAUGGGUUGUAUGAGGAAAUCUGCUUGGGUUAAGGGGCUUCUGAAUCUCUUCCUUCAAUCCAAAAAGAAAGGGGACACCAGAUAGGACAGUCCUUGAUCUCUCUGCAGCACAGACCAGAACUGAAUGUGACACCUGGAGCUUCUAUGGUCCUCCUGCCGCUGAGCCAAAGAGGAAGUCACUAUGGAGGAGAGCAGACCAAGGGAACUGUGGGAGGGGUGCUGUGGCCUAAUCACCUCUGAGCUUCUCGAGAUGCAAAAUAAAUAUCCUAAGCGUUCAUGCCAGUGUGGAUCCAGGCAUUUUAUAAAUUGUAAGGGAAAAUAUUCUAACUGAUACAAAGGCCCUGAGUGCACACAAUAGAGAGACUGGAGAUGCAGAGAUCACUAACAAUAUGUUUCAAAGAGUAUUCUUUUCAUACAGGGCUGCUGAAGACCAAGAUCCUUAUUGGAGAUGCAGAGAUCACUAACAAUAUGUUUCAAAGAGUAUGCUUUUCAUACGGGCUGCUGAAGACCAAAACCCUUACUGCAGUGUCCAGUACCUCCACUCAAUCAGAAGUCACUGGAGCUUUAGGAAAUGUGGGAGCUUUUGUUUUGUUUUGACUUUCAUCUUCUAUGGGACCUGCACCUUAUUUAAAUCGAAGAAACACUGUUUUGUAACACGCGUCCUCUUGAAAGAACUUGUGUUUAGCAGACAUCAUACGCAAAAGCCUUUAUAUUUAUGUAUUGCCUGCUAAAGAAGGCUUUAUUUCUGUGAAAAGAAGGCUUUCUGGAAGGGUGCAGUGGCUCACACCUGUAAUCUCAGCAAUUUGGGAGGGCAAGGCAGACGGAUCACUUGAGCCCAGAAGUUCGAGACCAGCCUGGGCAACAUGGCAAAACCCUGUCUCUACAAAAAAUACAAAAAUUAGCCAGGCAUGCUGGUGUGUCUAGGAUCCCAGCUACUAUGGAGGAUGGCUUGAGCCCAGGAGAUGGAUGUUGCAGUGAGCGGAGUUCGCGACACUGCACUCCAGCCUGGGCGACAGAACGAGCGCCUGUCUCGGGAAAAAAGAAAAAAAGGCUUUCCAAAUUUGAGACCCCUGAGCUAUAAAAGUUGUUGUUAGAGUCUGAGGGUCAGAGAAGCUCUCAUUGAAAUCACAGCUUUCACUUAUCAGCUGUGUGAUCUUGGGCCACUCUCAUCAUGUCUCUUAACCUCAAUUCUCAACUUAGAAACAAAGAAUAAUAGUAACCUUCAAGCAUUGCUACAGGAUUCAAUAUGACAUCGCAGGUAAAGUUUCUGACAGAGCUUGCUCCAUGAGAAAUACCUGAAUUACAUUUUUCUCCAUUUUAAAAAAAUUGGACCUGGUCAUUAAUGGCAUACACUGCCGUUGGUGUAGUGGACUUGUAACAGACUCCCAGACCCCAGAGGCCACACAUUCUUUGGGUCACCCCUCUUGGUUGCCUCUGGGCCCACUGACUGCUUGGUGCUGCUCCAGGGGUGGUGAGGUUCUUCUCUCAAUGCUUUUUCCCAGGUAAGUCACUUAUGUUCCCCCAAUUCAUAUGUUGCAGUCCUAAUCCCCAAUGGUUGUAGUAGGAGGUGAGGCCUUUAGUAGGUAAUUAGGUCAUUAGCGCGAAGUCCACAUGAAGGGGAUUAAUGCCUUCAUAAAAGAGACUCCAGAGAGAUUUCUCACCUUUCUUUCCACCACAUGAGGAUACAAAUGUUAGUCUACAAUCCAGAUGUAGUCCCUCACCAGAGCCUGACCAUGCUGGCACCCUAAUCUGAGAUUUCUAGCCUCCAUAACUGUGAGAAAUAAAUUUCUGUUCUUCAUAAACCACUCAAUCUAGGGUGCUUGGUUAUAGCAGCCUAAACUAGCACAGUUGGUGUACACUUUCUCUGUACAGUCACCCUACAGCACUUUUCUGAAAUCCCUCAAGGAAAAAACCAAUGUGCAGAGUGCAAAUAUUUCCCGCUGCAAGACCUCCAGAGUUGGGGACUUGUAACAGACACCCAGACCCCAGAGGUUACACAUUCUUGAGGUCACCUCUCUUGGUUGCCUCUGGGCCCACUGACUGCUUAGUGCUGCUCCAGAGGCGGUGAGGUUCUUUGCUCAAUGCUUUUUUCCAGGUAAAUCAGCCGGGUCUUCUUGCUGCUGUUGCAUGUCACCUGUCUGAUGUCCUCUCGCCCCUCAGAACUGCCUCCUAUUAUUACCCUCCUGCUACUCUUUCCCCUGGUAAUUGUUGGUGGGUGCCCUCCAUCUGCCCUCUCCCCCCAGCUAAUUGCCUUCUGGUUCUCCCUUCCCCUGGUCACAUGCCUGGCUCUGCCCUCCUGUCACCCUUCUUACCUGCUAACCUCUGCUUGAUUUGCUGCCUGGACAUAGGCAGGCUGGGCCUUUCUGCCCUUCAUGCUGCCUGCUGCCUGCUGGUUUCCCGCACUGCUCCAUCCACCUGCUGCGUGCCUGGGGUCACCUUCCCGCUGCCUGCUCCACCUGUCCCUGAGUUGGUUGAUUUUGCCCCCUGAAAAAGCACAGAUGGGAUCUCUCCAGCUUCCCUGUGAUUGUCUAAUGGGGAAGUGGGAUGCAAAUGACUGUGCAAAAUAAAUGGAAAGGAAGAAAAGCCAAACCAAACUGAACCAUACGAAAACAAAACAAACAUAAACACCCAGAUAGGGAUUAAGAACCCAGAGUAAUUUGGCUAAAUAAAGUUAUGUCUGUCUCAGAAUCCAGAACAUAGAUAUAAGACAAAAAGAGGGAAAACAUACUGGGAAAUUGAUUAAAAUAGGCUCCACAGUGCAUGUAAAGUAGUCAAAUUUUAGAGGUAAGUGCUGGGGAGUAGAGAUUCUUCUUCUACAUCUAACUUUACAAGUAAGCAUUAAGCUUUGGUGAUACACAGACCUGUUCAUUGGCAAUGAUUGCCUUUUCCUUAGGGGCAUAAUAUACUUGUACUCAAGGGGCCUUUUAAAAAUGCUGCUGAAUAUUUGCAAUUAAUAUCUGUUAUUUAGCCUUUCAUAUCUGUUUUAGAUGUCCUAUUGGCACUAUAAGCUCAGAAAUUCCUUUUUUGGGUGGUGCUUUUCUUUGAUUUUUUUCUUUUCUUUUUUUUUUUUUUUUUGACGGAGUCUUGCUCUGUUGCCCAGGCUGGAGUGCAGUGGCACGAUCUCGGGUCACUGCAAGCUCCACCCCCCAGGUUCACGCCAUUCUCCUGCUUCAGUCUCCCGAGUAGCUGGGACUACAGGUGCCUGAUACCAUGCCCGGCUAAUUUUUUUGUAUUUUUAGUAGAGAUGGGGUUUCACCAUGUUAGCCAGGAUGGUCUCGAUCUCCUGUCCUCAUAAUUCGCCUACCUCGGCCUCCCAAAGUGCUAGGAUUACAGGCGUGAGCCACCGCACCCAAUCCUCUUUGAUUUUUUUCUAAUUGUUUGUUUAAACUGACACUAAACACUCACAAAUUGGGCACAAGCACAAGUUAAUAGAAUAUUUAUUGAGAACUUUACUCCCAAAGACAGAGUUUCAUUUAGAGCAGAGAAAUUCCUCUUAUGCUAAAUAUUAAUCGUGUCACCCAGAAUAUAAUUUUUUUUUUUUUUUUUUUUUUGAGACAGGGUCUCUCUGUGCUGCCCAGGCUGGAGUGCAGUGGCAGGAUCAUAGCUGACUGCAACCCCAAACUCCUGGGGUCAAGUCAUCCUCCUGCCCCAGCCUCCUGAGGAGCUAAAACUAUAGAAGCAUGCCACCAAGCCUGGCUAAUAUAUAUAUAUAUUUUUAACGUUGUAGAGAUGAGAUUUUGCUAUGUUGCCCAGGCUGGUCUUGAGCUCCUGGCUUCAAGUGAUCCUGCUGCCUCAGCCUCCCAAAAUGCUGGGAUUACAGAUAUGAGCCUCCACACUUGGCCAUUUUUUUUUAUUUUUGAAGUUUUAUUUUUUUUAAUUGAUGCAUAAUAAUUGUACGUAUUUAUGGGGUACAGUGUAAUGUUUCAGUACAUCGUGUAAUAACCAAAUCAGGCAAUCGGUAUGUCUAUCAUCCAAAACACUUGUCAUUUCUAUGUGGUGAGAAUAUUCAAAAUCUUUUCUUCUAGUUAUUUUGAAGUAUGCAAUACAUUAUUGUUGACUAUAGACACCCUACAAUGCUAUAGAACGCAGGAACUUAUUCCUCCUAUUUAACUGUAGCUUUGUACUCAUCGACAAACGUUUCCCCAUACUCCCCUCCCCUUACUCUCCAGUCUCUGGUAAUCACUAUUCUACUGUCUACUUCUAUGAGAUCAAUCUUUUGAGGUUCCACAAGUACAUGAGAUCAUGCAGUAUUUGUCCUUCUGGACCUGAUCUAUUUCACUUAAUAUAAUAUUCACUAGAUUUGUCCAAGAAACAAAUGACAGAAUUUUGUUCUUUUUAUGGCUGAAUUGUAUUUGACUGUGAUACAUAACACAUUUUUCAAAUCUUUUUAUUCAUUGAUGGACACUUACGUUCAUUCAAUCAUAUUGUAUUAGGCCAUUCUUGCAUUGCUAUAAAGAAAUACUUGAGACUGGGUAAUUUAUAAAGCAAAGAGGUUUAACUGGCUCACAGUUCUACAGGCUUUAUAGGAAGUGUGGUGCUAACACCUGCUCAGCUUCCAGGGAGGCCUCAGGAAGCUCACAAUCAUGGCUGAAUGCAAACGGGGAGCAGACACAUCACGUGGCAAAAGCAGAAGCAAGAGAGGGAGGUGGGAGAUGCUACACACUUUUAAACGACCAGAUCUCUCAAGAACUCAUUCACUGUUAUGAGGAUGUGCCAGGGGAUGGUGCUAAAUCAUUCAUGAGAAAACAGCCCCCAUGAUCCCGUCACCUCCCACUAGGCCCCACUUCCAACAUUGCAGAUUCUAAUUGAACAUGAGACUUGGGUGGGGACACAGACCCAAAUCAUAUCACAUACCUUGGCUGUUGUGAAUAGUACUGCAAUAAACAUGAGAGAAAAUAUUCAGAAACUAUGCAUCUGUCUAUGGAUUAAUAUCCAGAAUAUGUGAGAAACUCAAACAAUUCAACAGCAAAAAAACCCAUAUAAUACAAUAAAAAUGGGCCAAAGGUCUGAAUGGACAUUUUUCAAAAGGAGACAUACAAAUGGCCAACAGGUAGAUUAAAAAAAAUUCAACAUCACUAAUCAUCGGAGAAAUGUAAACCAAAACUAUGAGGUAUCACUUUACCCCAGUUAGAAUGGCUAUCAUUAAGAUGACAAAAAAUAGCAAAUGCUGAGGAGAAGGUGAAGAAAGGAAAACUCUUACAUUUGAUUGGUAGAAAUGUAAGUUAAUACAGUCUUUAUAGAAACAGUAUGAAAGCGCCUCAAAAAAUUAGAAAGAGAACUAGCAUAUGAUUCCGCAAUCUCAUCAAUGAGUAUCUAUCCAAAGAAAAUGAAAUCAGUGUGUUAAAGAGAUAUCUGCCCUCCCAAGUUUAUCACAGAGAUCUUGUGUAUUUGAGUGUGAAGGUGGCUCAGAGAGUCGUGUGUCAGGUCUCUUGAGAGAAGAGGUAGGCAUGAACACUGGUUUCAGAUGUAGAAUGUAAGACUUGUUUAUGGUCUUCGUCUUCAUGGCUAAUGGGUAGUUCUUCAUUUACAGCCUUCUCAAGCAAGAAAUAUUUGAAGACACACAUACCCUCAUCCACAAAGAUUACACUGUUACUCUCAGUUGGUCCAAAAUUCUACUCUAAAAUAAAAUGUAUGUGUUAUUUCCAAAAGGAAGUCUUGUCAUGUUUCUCCUCAAAAUGACAAUUAGACCAACUAGAUGAUUAUUGUAUUAUUUAGUUCUUAAAAUUUAUUUUCUCUUUCUACAAUCCUUUGUAUAGUAAUAUUAACAAUGACAACUAGUCCUAGGUUGGUUUUCCUUGGCCUCAGUUUCCCCAUUUUUAAACCAAAGCAGAGGUCAGGGGAAACCAUAUGUUCUCUGUGAUUCUACUGAGCUUCAUGAUAUGGGAAUACUUUUGUAUUCUAAAAUUCAUGAGACUUAAAAUUAUCAAGUUAGUUCUAAAAAUGUCCAUGGUCCCCAUUGAUAAUGAUAGGUUACCAACGACUACUUUUGACAGAAUUCUUAGUUCUCAUAUACUAAAAUAUGAAGAAAUAAGGCUGUAGAAAAUCCAACAGUUUUGGGGGAAGAUAAAUAUAAAAAUUAAGCUCCAACGAUAUGAUGAGAGACG
rnacentral:lncRNA from 10 species